UACGUAGGGGGCAAGCGUUGUCCGGAUUUAUUGGGCGUAAAGCGCACGCAGGCGGUCUCUUAAGUUUCGAGUGACAGGUCAGGGCUUAACCCUGGCAGGCCUUGGAAAACUGGGGGACUUGAGGGCUUCAGAGGGACGCGGAAUUCCAGGUGGAGCGGUGAAAUGCGCAGAUAUCAGGAGGAACACCGGUGGCGAAGGCGGAUCUCUGGGCCUUACCUGACGCUGAGGCGCGAAAGCUAGGGGAGCGAACAGG
rnacentral:rRNA from 1 species